rnacentral:rRNA from 1 species
GAUGAACGCUGGCGGCGUGCCUAAUACAUGCAAGUCGAGCGAACAGACGAGGAGCUUGCUCCUCUGACGUUAGCGGCGGACGGGUGAGUAACACGUGGAUAACCUACCUAUAAGACUGGGAUAACUUCGGGAAACCGGAGCUAAUACCGGAUAAUAUAUUGAACCGCAUGGUUCAAUAGUGAAAGACGGUUUUGCUGUCACUUAUAGAUGGAUCCGCGCCGCAUUAGCUAGUUGGUAAGGUAACGGCUUACCAAGGCAACGAUGCGUAGCCGACCUGAGAGGGUGAUCGGCCACACUGGAACUGAGACACGCUCCAGACUCCUACGGGAGGCAGCAGUAGGGAAUCUUCCGCAAUGGGCGAAAGCCUGACGGAGCAACGCCGCGUGAGUGAUGAAGGUCUUCGGAUCGUAAAACUCUGUUAUUAGGGAAGAACAAAUGUGUAAGUAACUAUGCACGUCUUGACGGUACCUAAUCAGAAAGCCACGGCUAACUACGUG